rnacentral:rRNA from 1 species
AUUGAACGCUGGCGGCAGGCCUAACACAUGCAAGUCGGACGGUAGCACAGAGGAGCUUGCUCUUCGGGUGACGAGUGGCGGACGGGUGAGUAAUGUCUGGGAAACUGCCCGAUGGAGGGGGAUAACUACUGGAAACGGUAGCUAAUACCGCAUAACGUCGCAAGACCAAAGUGGGGGACCUUCGGGCCUCACACCAUCGGAUGUGCCCAGAUGGGAUUAGCUGGUAGGCGGGGUAACGGCCCACCUAGGCGACGAUCCCUAGCUGGUCUGAGAGGAUGACCAGCCAGACUGGAACGGAGACACGGGCCAGAUUCCUACGGGAGGCAGCAGUGGGGAAUAUUGAACAAUGGGCGCAAGCCUGAUGCAGCCAUGCCGCGUGUAUGAAGAAGGCCUUUGGGUUGUAAAGUACUUUCAGCGGGGAGGAAGGUGCUGAGGUUAAUAAGCUCAGCAAUUGACGUUACCCGCAGAAGAAGCACCGGCUAACUCCGUGCCAGCCGCCGCGGUAA